UCAUUUGCCCUGUAAUUGAGGGCUAGUAUGAAUGGUUUGACAAGAGUAAUACUGUCUCCACAGAAAUUUUUAGAAUUUAUUAUCUAAGUGAAGAAUCUUAGAUAAAAUUAAAAGACAAGAAGACCCUAUCGAGCUUGAAAUAUAUUUACAAAAUAAAAAAAAUAGCUAAUAUAUUUUCAAUUGUAAAAAAUUUUGGUUGGGGCGACUAAGGAACAAAUAAAGCUUCUUUAUAAUGAUUUUAACUCAUAAGUAAUGAUCCGUUAAUUAUAACGAUUAAAAGAAUUAGUUACCGUAGGGAUAACAGCAUAAUCUUUUUUGAGAGUUCUAAUCGAAAAAAGGGUUUGU
rnacentral:rRNA from 1 species